rnacentral:rRNA from 1 species
UCAGCCCUAAACACAAAUAAUUUUAAAAACAAAAUUAUUCGCCAGAGUACUACCGGCAACAGCCUAAAACUCAAAGGACUUGGCGGUGCUUUAUACCCUUCUAGAGGAGCCUGUUCUAUAAUCGAUAAACCCCGAUAAACCUCACCAAUUCUUGCUAAUACAGUCUAUAUACCGCCAUCUUCAGCAAACCCUAAAAAGGAACAAAAGUAAGCGCAAUCAUAACAUAUAAAAACGUUAGGUCAAGGUGUAACCUAUGAAAUGGGAAGAAAUGGGCUACAUUUUCUACUUCAAGAAAACCUACAUACGAAAGUUAUUAUNAAACUAAUAACCAAAGGA